rnacentral:tRNA from 1 species
ACUGAAAUAGCUCAUUUGGUAGAGCGUCAGACUUUAAAUCGAAAGGUGCUUGGUUCGAUCCCUUUUUCGGGC